GGCCUGCCCAAUGAGGAUUUAAAUGGCCGCGGUAUUUUGACCGUGCAAAGGUAGCAUAAUCAUUAGUUUUUUAAUUGAAAGCUUGCAUGAAAGGUUGGAUGAGAAAAUAGUUGUCUCUAUUUAAAUUAAUUAGAAUUUUAUUUUUAAGUAAAAAAGCUUAAAUUAAAUUGGAAGACGAGAAGACCCUAUAGAGUUUUAAUUUAGUUGGGGUGAUUAAAAAAUUAAAUAAACUUUUUUUUUACUUUUACAUUAAUUUAUGGUUGUUUGAUCCUUAUUUUAAGAUUAAAAGAUAAAAUUACCUUAGGGAUAACAGCGUAAUUUUUUUAAAGAGUUCAAAUCGAAAAAAAAGAUUGCGACCUCGAUGUUGGAUUAAAAUAAAAUUUUGGUGUAGAAGCUAA
rnacentral:rRNA from 1 species